rnacentral:rRNA from 1 species
AUUGAACGCUGGCGGCAGGCCUAACACAUGCAAGUCGAGCGAGCGGCGGACGUGUUAGUAAUGUAUGGGGAUCUGCCUGAUGGAGGGGGAUAACUACUGGAAACUGUAGCUAAUACCGAAUACCAUCGGAUGAGCCCAUAUGGGAUUAGCUUGUUGUUAAGGUAAAGGCUUACCAAGGCGACGAUCCCUAGCUGGUCUGAGAGGAUGACAAGCCACACUGGGACGGAGACACGGCCCAGACUCCUACGGGAGGCAGCAGUGGGGAAUAUUGCACAAUGGGCGAAAGCCUGAUGCAGCCAUGCCGCGUGUAUGAAGAAGGCCUUCGGGUUGUAAAGUACUUUAAGUAGGGAGGCGUUACCGACAGAAGAAGCACCGGCUAACUCCGUGCCAGCAGCCGCGGUAAUUC